rnacentral:rRNA from 1 species
AUGUACCUAACCAGCGCUCGUAGUAGCUCCUGGGUAUUUGAUACCGGUGCAGUUGCUCAUAUUUGCAACUCAAAACAGGAGCUGUGGAAUAAGCAGAGACUGGCGAAGGACGAGGUGACGAUGCGCGUCGGGAAUGGUUCCAUGGUCGAUGUGAUCGCCGUCGGCACGCUACCUCUACAUUUACCUACAGGAUUAGUUUUAAACCUCAAUAAUUGUUAUUUAGUACCAGCUUUGAGCAUGAACAUUGUAUCCGGAUCUCGUUUAAUGCGAGUGGCUACUCAUUUAAAUCUGAGAAUAAUGGUUGUUCUAUUUAUAUAA